rnacentral:lncRNA from 1 species
UCUUCUUGAACUUCUUGUUAGAUUUCAAGUCUGUAUUUUGUGUCCGUGACAGUUUGUCGAGACUGCAUUUUCACUGGUAUCAGAGCUAGUUCGUUCUUGUUAGAGAGUGGAUUACCCCUCUUUUUGAAGGUGUGCUAGUGUUUUAGAGGUUGCGGAUUACCCUCCUCUAAACUGAUAUCUCUUCUUUCUCAAUAUUGGAGCCUUAUUCUUCUUGGAGAGAGUGGAUUACCCCUCAUCUUGGAG